rnacentral:lncRNA from 1 species
UGGUCAAUUCUAUCUUGACUCACACACCGACUUCACAAGUACUUGACUGUACCUAAAAAUUUUUCGAUUCUGAAUUAAAAAUUCAGAUAGUCUGACACCAAAGCACAGUGAGUUGUUGCAAGUCACUGUGGUGAUGUCAAGUCAGAGAGACACUUAAACUUAUAUUCCUUCGGAGUGACUCUUGACAACAGAGUGCUCCGAAAUUGAUCAUGUUCAGUGAAAUAUACUCCUACAUUUCACCUGCACGCCAUACCAAC